rnacentral:rRNA from 1 species
UACAGAGGUCUCAAGCGUUGUUCGGAUUCAUUGGGCGUAAAGGGUGCGUAGGUGGCGCCGUAAGUCAGGUGUGAAAUUUCGGAGCUUAACUCCGAAACUGCAUUUGAUACUGCGGUGCUUGAGGACUGGAGAGGAGACUGGAAUUCACGGUGUAGCAGUGAAAUGCGUAGAUAUCGUGAGGAAGACCAGUGGCGAAGGCGGUUCUCUGGACAGUUCCUGACACUGAGGCACGAAGGCCAGGGGAGCAAACGGG